AAGAAGUUAGUUAAUUUAUAACAUUAGUAUGUCAUACUAAAAUUAUUAGAAUACUAAUACAUCUUU
rnacentral:tRNA from 1 species